UACGAAGGGGGCUAGCGUUGCUCGGAAUCACUGGGCGUAAAGCGCACGUAGGCGGAUUGUUAAGUCAGGGGUGAAAUCCUGGAGCUCAACUCCAGAACUGCCUUUGAUACUGAAGAUCUUGAGUUCGGGAGAGGUGAGUGGAACUGCGAGUGUAGAGGUGAAAUUCGUAGAUAUUCGCAAGAACACCAGUGGCGAAGGCGGCUCACUGGCCCGAUACUGACGCUGAGGCACGAAAGCUAGGGAGCA
rnacentral:rRNA from 1 species